GACGAACGCUGGCGGCGUGCUUAACACAUGCAAGUCGAACGGAAAGGCCCCUUUGGGGGUCCUCGAGUGGCGAACGGGUGAGUAACACGUGAGUAACCUGCCCUUGACUUCGGGAUAACUUCAGGAAACUGGGGCUAAUACCGGAUAGGAAUCCUUGCUGCAUGGUGGGGGUUGGAAAGCUUCGGCGGUUUUGGAUGGACUCGCGGCUUAUCAGCUUGUUGGUGGGGUAGUGGCUUACCAAGGCUUUGACGGGUAGCCGGCCUGAGAGGGCGACCGGCCAAAUUGGGACUGGGAUACGGCCCAGACUCCUACGGGGGGCAGCAGUGGGGAAUAUUGCACAAUGGGCGGAAGCCUGAUGCAGCAACGCCGCGUGCGGGAUGACGGCCUUCGGGUUGUAAACCGCUUUCAGCAGGGGCGAAGCUUGUGGUGACGGUACCUGCAGAAGAAGCACCGGCUAACUACGUG
rnacentral:rRNA from 1 species